AGGGGUUGAGGGGAUGGGUGGGUGUGAGAGAGGAGGGUGGAGGGGAGUUUUACAAAAGAACUCCAAGUCCUGGAACCCCUCCACCCUUUAGCUUUCAGACACCUGUUACUCUCUGGGGUCCCGGAGACUCCUCCGAGAGGAGUCAGAAAACUUCUAACUUGCCAUGAUCUCCACCAUUAGGCCAUAUAAGAUAUGCAAAUGAGUGGGAAGGGCUCAGCUUUCGGCAAGAUGCAAAUGGUGGUGGGGAGGGGGAAAAACCGAGAAAGUGGGAGAACCUAAGGGACAGUCCAACGGAGCGAGAGACUUGGGCCGGGAUUGGGACUUGCCAGAGCCCAUUCUACUCACGCUGGGGGGCUCCAAAUCUUCUCUACCGAUUCUGUUUAUCAGCCAAACUUUAGGUGACCUUUGGACUGGUAAAGCAAGCGGCUUGCAGCCUAGGCUGGGUGGGGGUGGGGGACCUUUCCACUAGCGACGGGUUCGGCUUUAGUCCAGAAAGAAGAAACUGCGCUUCGGGGGUUCAGGUCUGGUCCGGAAGGAAGCCCUGAGCCUUUCGGCACAGCACGGCAGGAGUUUCUGCCACAUCUCCCCUGGGACCCGGAGAGGAAGCAAGGAGGCGCAAGCCGCACCCAGACCUCCAGGCAGGGACCUGAGCUGCAGGGAAGGAAACUGCUUAGAUACACACACACACACACACACACACACACACGCACACGCACACGCACACGCACACGCGCACGCACACGCACAGGCACACACAUUUCCCCAGGGUAGAGGCGGUUUUGAACCUCGGUUCUCUCAUUUGUGAAAUAUAUUCCUAAUAUCCAGGAUACAGAAAAGCUGUAGACACGGAAGAAGACCACCUGUGCAAAGCUGGCUAACACCUGUGUACACACUUCCCCUGUCUGCGAAGAUGGCAGGCCUGUUCCCAGUGGUUUGGAAGCUUAAGGUUCUCAGCAUCCGGGCAUUAGGGUUGGAAGAACUGGACAAAGAAAGACAAACGUUCAGAACCAUCAGCAGGUUUGUUGUCAUAGGUGACAGAGGCUUGAUUCUUAUGGUUGUGCCCAGUAGGAGGACUCUUUCUGCUUCACAGCUCCACUCAAACAGGAUAAUGAAGUGUUCAGAAUAAAUGUCUUUUUGUUUCCCCUGUCUCUUACUCAGUAUCAUGAUAGAAGUAUAAUGAUCAUCGGCUUCUGUCUUAAGCUGGGAAAACCCAUUAAAAGGCCACCAUUACCACCACUGCCCACUAAUCAACACAGUUUUGAUUUGUAGUUGUAACUGUGAUGUGCCACCAGAUAUCCAAACCUCCCUCUCUCAAAAAACUAUGGUGUUAACCCCUUCUCCCCACCCCACCCCCGACCAGCCACCCAUGUGAAUGAACAGUGAGCUGCACCUAGAGUUCAG
rnacentral:lncRNA from 1 species